rnacentral:sRNA from 2 species
UGGCGAGUAUCUCGACGUCCUCUCAGUGCUUCAUAGAGUUGAUGGCUUGCGUUUGUUUGCAGCUGAAGCAGGCAUGCCCCGGUGUCAAUGAGAUCUUGCCUGUUUUUACCCCAUUCGUCGGACCCUCCCAAGGUCCCAAUUAUCAUAAUACUCCAAAAUGAUAUGAGAGAGGCCAGAAAAUGUUGCCUCAUGAUUGGUGACUGAAGAGUUGAAAUUCUAUGGGCAAACAGACUGAAUGGGCAUAACGCUUAGCACAAGAUAGAAAAUGCUAAUGGGAUACUCGAAUGAGAAAGAAAAGUCACAUAAAACGAAGGGAAACGAAUGAUCUGGCAGGGACGGAAAACUAGAGAGUGACGUAAAUAGAAACAUAAAUAUCAAGGACGUUGGGCUACUUUUACUCUCAGCAAUCCUCAAUGAAUGAGCACGUUACUUGACCCGAGAUGCGCACCGAUUAGGCUUAUUUAACAGAACCUAGCGUGGCAAUGCGUCAAACACAGCUCUGACCCCAAUUUCCCAACACCUUGAGCAGAUUGUUGUGAGAGGGCAGUG